UUGUAACCCUUUAGCAUAGGGUGUUAUAACUCUGGCCCGAAUUUCGCAACGGAAGUCCUGUCCUUUAUCACUCCCCAGCUCUCUGACCUUAGCUAACAAAAUGAAAGAGGCACGCUUCCGUUGGGGAUCGCGAAAAGCCCACUAUUUCCUGAUAAAACAGCCGAUCUCCCACAACUCCGAAGUCGCUUUAAGUCAAACUAGUUUUAUUGGCAAUAGAACAGAGAAUACAAAUGCACGUGAAAUGUAGUCUUUAUCUUGAAGUCUCUCAGAACUCGAUCUUUUCGUUGGUGGCAGAAGGUGGUUCGCGUUUAACAAUAUCUAUUAGCGAUCUGGGCAUUUAGCCCGCCAUUUUUUAUCACAAACUUAGCGCCCUAACAUUUUUAAAGAAACUAGCAUUUGUUUAUGCCAUAUAAGGUAUCGAAUUGUUGAACAAUAAUUUGCCAAUUUUGUAUUUUAAAAUAGUAAUAGAAACGUGUCAAUAUGCAAAACGCUACUGGUUCUAUAAUACAGUGGCAAUACUAAAUUCGCAAAAAGCAGAAAAAAACACUUUAUUUUUAAACUAAUAUAAAUGAUUAUUCUUUUAAGCUUCUCUAAGGAGAAGCACGUGUUUUAUGUGUUCACAACAGCGGCGGCUGUGUAAACGAUGCGAAACAAAAUUGCUGCUGUUGCGCUUUUAAGCGGAUGUGAGAAGACGCUUUGAAAUUAGGGGUUAUGAGAAAUUAUCUUUCCCUUUAUUAAAAAAACAAAUAAUCAAUUGAAAAUUUAUUCAAUUACUAAACUGCCAGUAUAUGCAGUUUCACAGCUUUCAAAAAUCCAGAUCAUUUCGCAGAGAUGUGAGAAUAUCUACCAAAUUUUCACCAGAUUUUCUUAAGUGAAGUAAUACAUUAUUCAGAGAAAUACGUUAUAGUAAAGUGAAAAAACGAAGUUCUAAAGAGGAGAACUUUGCAAGAAUACUCAAUUAUACGUCGUUUUUGCUUCCAAGAUCCGGUUGCAGCAGCUUAUGCGAAGCUAAUUAAACUAAAACUUUGUUUACCCAACACGCUUUGGAAACGGAAUACCCGUAAUACCCGUAAAACAAUCGCUAACCCAUUG